rnacentral:rRNA from 1 species
UACGUAGGGUGCAAGCGUUGUCCGGAAUUAUUGGGCGUAAAGAGCUCGUAGGCGGUUUGUCGCGUCUGCUGUGAAAACUCGGGGCUUAACUCCGGCCUGCAGUGGGUACGGGCAGACUAGAGUGCGGUAGGGGAGACUGGAAUUCCUGGUGUAGCGGUGAAAUGCGCAGAUAUCAGGAGGAACACCGGUGGCGAAGGCGGGUCUCUGGGCCGUAACUGACGCUGAGGAGCGAAAGCGUGGGGAGCAAACAGG